GUAGGGGCCCCCCCGGUGGUUGGGGGAGAGGACGGGGGCCGGCGGGGCCGGGCCCGUACGGGCGUGUGAGGGCGGGGCGGUGUGGAGGGCUCUGCCCCGUUUCGGGGGGACGGGUAGGGCUGAUCGUCUGGUGCCGGCGGGGCCUUCCGGGCGGCGGUCGACUGAGGCCCGCGCGCGGCCGCGGGCGGGGACGCGGUGGUUGGUGGUUGGCGUCGGGGCGGUGGCCCGUGGGGCGCGCCGUGCCCCUCGCUUGCCUCCCCCUUUCUAGUUUUUACAGCUGGAAUUUCAUUCUUUGUCCCAGUGUUAUGAUGUACUCCUGUUGAAGAAUAACAUCCAUUAAGAUGUGAGCUACCCAACUUAAGUAUGCAAGUCCGAGUCAACUGGCAGGAGAGAAACAUGCUGAGAUUUGGAUUUUUGAGGAGAUGGAACUACUUCUCACUUGUGCUGCAAAUACAAGAUCAGAGGGAUACCAAGACUUGAAAAGCUUGGAGAAACUUUCUCCAAAGACUUUGGGACCGACUGGUGGUCAUCUCAUGACAUUCUGGAAGGAUCUCAAGGCAUGAAGGGAUUCUGGUGAGGCUUGGAGGAAGGAUGUAGUCAGACUGGAAAGGCUGUCUCCUUCAGGACCUGUGAUGGAAAAGUCCAGUACUGGUCAGCCCCUAGGACUGUCAAGUGAAGAAUGGAUCUGGAAGCAACUGGCCUGACCAACUAGACAAGGCCCUGUCUCCUGUCUCCUAGCCCAGUUCCCUCUCACUACUAUUGGGUGGCCAUAACUGUGACAUAGAAGAUAGUAAAGCACAUGGAUAACUGUGAAGUGAGUGAAUGUGGACCUGUACUGAAGAUGUUAUUGUUUGUGAUGACUCCAGGCAGCAUUGAUGAAGAUGUGGCUCUGCCUGUGCGUCACAACAGGUACUGAGUGGGACUCCGGGCUCAGUAAUCUGGGCAUUGAUGAGAGGUGGUGGGUGGCAGGUGGAGGGUUCUUGAGACCAGAACUGAAGAUCUCCCCGUGCAUACCUGGAUAUUGUGUGUAUGUGGAGGGUGUAUGUCCUAUUCCUUCUAAGGUUGAGGAUACGAGGAAUGGCCCAGCAUGGUUCUGGAGAACAUCAGAAGUCAUGGGAACAAAAACCUGGAAGCACACAAUAAGCUCCUGGUCCAAUUUGUAUUAGAAUCCAGUCCUUUGAGUAUUAGGAAUUGUUCACUACAUGUCACUCAUUACCAGAGUAUGGAUGAACAGAUUUGGAAAGUAUUAUGAUCUACUCGUGUUAAAGAAUGACUUAUCCAUUAAGAUGUGAGCUACCUGACUUAACUAUGCAAGUCCAAGUCAGCAGGUAAGAGUGAAACAUGCUGAGAUUUGGAUGUUGGAGGGGGUGGGUCUACUUCUCCCCUGUACUCUGAAUACAGGAUAAGCAGGUAUGAAUUACAGAAUUAAUCAGUGGACAUGUUUUCUG
ensembl:lncRNA